UUUCCCACCCUGGAAGAAGCAGUAACCUUAUUUUCUGAGUCUUCGGUGGAGAAGAUCAGACCAUUAUCUGAAAAAUCUAGUAUUAGUGACAAUCCCUCGUGCAUUGAGGAUUCACUGGAACAUAGUGAUCAGAUGGAUGACCUCUAGGCUUUUAAGCUGAAAAACCUCUCUGAACUAGUCCAAAACGACUUCAUCAGAGAAGCUGGAGAGAGGUUGCAGGCAC
rnacentral:lncRNA from 1 species